GACGAACGCUGGCGGCGUGCUUAACACAUGCAAGUCGAACGAUGAAACCGGAGCUUGCUCUGGUGAAUUAGUGGCGAACGGGUGAGUAACACGUGAGUAACCUGCCCUUGACUCUGGGAUAACUGCGGGUAACUGUAGCUAAUACCGGAUACGACCCUCGGAGGCAUCUCCUGGGGGUGGAAAGAAUUUCGGUAAAGGAUGGACUCGCGGCCUAUCAGCUAGUUGGUGAGGUAACGGCUCACCAAGGCGACGACGGGUAGCCGGCCUGAGAGGGUGACCGGCCACGCGGGGACUGAGACACGGCCCAGACUCCUACGGGAGGCAGCAGGGGGGAAUAUUGCACAAUGGGCGCAAGCCUGAUGCAGCAACGCCGCGUGAGGGAUGACGGCCUUCGGGUUGUAAACCUCUUUUAGUAGGGAAGAAGCGAAAGUGACGGUACCUGCAGAAAAAGCACCGGCUAACUACGUGCCAGCCGCCGCAGUAA
rnacentral:rRNA from 1 species